GGUUGUAUGGAAAUUCGUAGGGAAAAGUCUGAGAGAACUCCUUGCUCUUUAUGUAACCAAUUUCAUAGUUGCGUAACAAGUAUCAUAACACUUUAGGAAUUAGUGUAGAAUUGAACGAUCAUUCCGCACUUGGCAGAGGUGAAGCUUAUCAAAUACGUAACAUGUUGGCAGUGGAUUGAGCUUCAUAUGUGCACGCUAACUGUUUAACCUUUCACUAAAAUGUGUGGUUGUAUAAGUUUAUCACGGUUUACUGCUCGAAGGGCAAUCCAUAGGCAGUCUUUUAGAAACCGUAGGCUACCUUGGUACGCUCGGUAGCAGCUUUAAGGUCUAAGGCAACUAUGCAUGGGACGUAUUGCGUAAUGUGCCUCAUCCGUUUUUGAGUCCCGGUUCCCUGCGGAUUAGGCCAAAGACCAAAAAUACUUGAGUUAGCUAAGCCUUGAAAAAAACCACUAUGGCUACUUCUAGAAAUCCCAACACAAGCCAUCGUGCACCUAGUUACACCAGGGCAGAUCGACUCAUCCACUUCUGGAUAUUCGAAGUGUAUAAUUUAUCCUCUUGCAUUGAAGAGUAGACCUAUAUGGGUGUGGCGGAAUUGGUUUACCCUCUCGCACUAUAGAGCAUGGUUGGUCCCCAAGGGGUGCAAUUUUUGCGAUAAGUCCCAGCAAGGGCACGAUCUUCAUUUAAAGUGCAUGAGUAAUCAGUUGUUGUAAACAUGCAUCCAAGCCAAGUUGUGAAUAACUUAUGA
rnacentral:lncRNA from 1 species